GAGGGCAUAGCUCAAAUGGUAGAUGGUAUGCUUAGCAUGCAUAAGGUCCUGGGUUCAAUCCCCAGUACCUCCU
rnacentral:tRNA from 1 species